CAGCCAUGAAAUGUGACACAGAUACAUCUACUUGAGCUUCCGCAGCACCAGCGCUCGCACAGCACCCUUUAGCCAGGACACAAAUCACUAAAGUAGUACAGCUGGUAUGCUGAAUAUCCCAUUUGCUCCAGCCUGCACUUGAAUGAAGUACUCUGCAUUCAUACCACUGCUU